AAGCGAUUCAGUCAGUUUUGGUAUAUAUUACUUUAUUAAAGAUUAAGAAUGUGUUUUAACGGUACCAAUGUACAUAUGGACAAACUAGACCAAAUGCGCAAAAGACUCUGUUUAUUACAGUUUAUCCAGUUACUAUGAUUCAACUACGAAAAAGACGUCAGUCAGUCAAUUUAGUGACGAACCCUACAUCCAGCCAUGUGUCGUGUUUUUACCGUGAGCUGCCGAGCUCGUCUGCUGCCAGGCCACUGCCAGUAGUUUGACCAUCACAAAUUGGAUCAAAACCAGUGACUUUAAUUAACUGAAUGCCAAAAUGAGCUAUUUUUUCGAACUGGGAUACGGCCUAGGGUUGUUCAUUAUCAUUUUCAUCUGUGUGGGUAUCGUCGGUUGCUGUGUAGCUCUCUGCUGCUGCUGUUGCAAGAAAAGAAACCCGCAAAGGCACCAAAGUAGGAAACGUUCUUGAUUCUUCUUGAAGUUCUUGAAGUUUGUCUUUAGAGAACAGCAAGUGAGAAAUAAAUGCUUCUUCAAAUUAUAAAGCUCGAUAAAGUGUUUU
rnacentral:lncRNA from 1 species